rnacentral:rRNA from 1 species
AUUAGCUAGUUGGUGAGGUAAUGGCUCACCAAGGCGACGAUCAGUAGCUGGUUUGAGAGAACGACCAGCCACACUGGAACUGAGACACGGUCCAGACUCCUACGGGAGGCAGCAGUGGGGAAUUUUGGACAAUGGGGGCAACCCUGAUCCAGCCAUUCCGCGUGAGUGAAGAAGGCCUUCGGGUUGUAAAGCUCUUUCGCAAGGGAAGAAAACUUAUGAUCGAAUAAAUCAUGAGGUUGACGGUACCUUGAUAAGAAGCACCGGCUAACUACGUGCCAGCAGCCGCGGUAAUACGUAGGGUGCGAGCGUUAAUCGGAAUUACUGGGCGUAAAGCGUGCGCAGGCGGUUUUGUAAGUCGGAUGUGAAAUCCCCGGGCUCAACCUGGGAACUGCGUUCGAAACUGCAAGGCUAGAGUGUGUCAGAGGGGGGUAGAAUUCCACGUGUAGCAGUGAAAUGCGUAGAGAUGUGGAGGAAUACCAAUGGCGAAGGCAGCCCCCUGGGAUAACACUGACGCUCAUGCACGAAAGCGUGGGGAGCAAACAGGAUUAGAUACCCUGGUAGUCCACGCCCUAAACGAUGUCAACUAGUUGUUGGUAGAGUAAAAUCUAUGAGUAACGUAGCUAACGCGUGAAGUUGACCGCCUGGGGAGUACGGUCGCAAGAUUAAAACUCAAAGGAAUUGACGGGGCCC